AAUUAUGUUUGCACCUCCCUCUCCCUCGACAUAUCCAAGUACUUCAUCAAAACCUCCUCCCCGAAAACCGAUAUCAAACACUCUCAUGUUCUUUCACUUGGUAUUAGUACAGUGGCUUGCAAUUCGGCACACGCAGCCACUAACAUAAUGGUUAUAAACUGGGAAGCACACUCAAGCAAUCAUUCUAUCCCCCCAAUAUGUUUGGAAACAAAACAAACAGGAAUCUAGUGUUCAUUACCUAACUCCAUGACUGUAUAUAGUGCUAGAACCUAGAAUCUUAAGCUAUGGUAAUGAACCGUCUCGACA